CGGUAGGAUGAAGGCCAAGGCAGGCUCCCGCACCGACGACUCCCUUGCUGCUGGCGGCAGGAUGAAGGCCAAGGCAGGCUCCCGCACCGGCGACUCCCUUGCUGCUGGCGGUUGGAUGAAGGCCAAGGCUCGCGGUGAAGAAGAGCAAGGCCGACAAGGACCCCAAUAAGCCCAAGCGCCCCCCGAGCACCUUCUUCGUCUUCGCAGGGACACCUUCAGGAAGGAGUACAAGGAGAAGCACCCGACGUCAUGCAGGUCUCUGUGAUUGGCAAGGCCGGUGGUGAGAAGUGGAAGUCCCAAGUGAUGUUGCUCGAAGGAGGCAGUAUGCAAGGCACCUCCUGAUGGAUAUUGCUUGCUGGCUUCUGCUUUUUGAAUGCUUGUAUUGCCGCUGCUUGUGCCGCUAUUCCAAAAGUUAUGUAUUUGUGAACAUAGGAGAUAAGUUAUUGAUAUGUGUUGGUCUGUCUAAUGUUAUGCGAGAUAAAGUUGUGUGAGAAAGUUUUCUA